rnacentral:rRNA from 1 species
GUCAAGUCCUCAUGGCCUUUAUGUCUGGGGCUACACACGUGCUACAAUGGCCGGUACAGAGGGCAGCGAAGGCGCGAGCCGGAGCCAAUCCCGGAAAACCGGUCCCAGUUCGGAUCGAAGUCUGCAACUCGACUCCAUGAAGCCGGAGUCGCUAGUAAUCGCGGAUCAGCAAAGCCGCGGUGAAUACGUUCUCGGGGAUU